UACGUAGGGGGCAAGCGUUGUCCGGAUUUAUUGGGCGUAAAGGGCGCGUAGGCGGCCAUGCGUGUCUUCCGUGAAAUCCCUCGGCUUAACUGAGGACGUGCGGAAGAAACUGCAAGGCUUGAGUCCGGGAGAGGGGGGUGGAAUUCCCAGUGUAGCGGUGAAAUGCGUAGAUAUUGGGAGGAACACCGGUGGCGAAGGCGGCCCCCUGGACCGGUACUGACGCUGAGGCGCGAAAGCGUGGGUAGCAAACGGG
rnacentral:rRNA from 1 species